ACUCUGCAGCCUGGCCGCCGCGCGGGGUUGCCGGUACCCCGGAGCACGCCAGGCUCGCAGAGAGAGCGUCUCCCGGAGGAAGCUGAGGCAUGACGGCCCGAGAGCCGGCCGUUCAUGUGCAAUUUUCCUCCCACAGCUCGCGAGCACUGUUGCCACGGCGAUAGCGACUGGGCGGUGUCGCUAUCUAUCAGGAACAGUCAGAGAAGCCGGCGGUCGCGAUAAUGUGCGCAGAAGAAGUGGUUUCUGCUGGGCACUGAGCACUGCUACAGAU